rnacentral:ncRNA from 1 species
UUGAAUAAUCGGCAAACUUACUGAAAAGUAAGGACGCAAAGCUUAAGGGCCUAAGUAAUUUAUAUGGCUGCCAGUUGCAAAU